rnacentral:rRNA from 1 species
UACAGAGGGGGCAAGCGUUAUCCGGAAUUAUUGGGCGUAAAGAGCUCGUAGGCGGUUUGUCGCGUCUGCCGUGAAAACUCAGGGCUUAACCCUGAGCUUGCAGUGGGUACGGGCAGACUAGAGGUAUGCAGGGGAGAACGGAAUUCCUGGUGUAGCGGUGAAAUGCGUAGAGAUCGGCAGGAACACCCAGGGGGAAACCAGCCGGCUGGGGACGGGCUGACGCUCAGGGGCGAAAGCGUGGGGAGCGAACCGG